CCAGAGCCUGAAUCAGUGUGUGUGUUAGUGGAAGCGUCUGGAAAGGCGCGCGAUACAGGGUGACAGCCCCGUACACAAAAAUGCACAUGCUGUGAGCUCGAUGAGUAGGGCGGGACACGUGGUAUCCUGUCUGAAUAUGGGGGGACCAUCCUCCAAGGCUAAAUACUCCUGACUGACCGAUAGUGAACCAGUACCGUGAGGGAAAGGCGAAAAGAACCCCGGCGAGGGGAGUGAAAAAGAACCUGAAACCGUGUACGUACAAGCAGUGGGAGCACGCUUAGGCGUGUGACUGCGUACCUUUUGUAUAAUGGGUCAGCGACUUAUAUUCUGUAGCAAGGUUAACCGAAUAGGGGAGCCGAAGGGAAACCGAGUCUUAACUGGGCGUUAAGUUGCAGGGUAUAGACCCGAAACCCGGUGAUCUAGCCAUGGGCAGGUUGAAGGUUGGGUAACACUAACUGGAGGACCGAACCGACUAAUGUUGAAAAAUUAGCGGAUGACUUGUGGCUGGGGGUGAAAGGCCAAUCAAACCGGGAGAUAGCUGGUUCUCCCCGAAAGCUAUUUAGGUAGCGCCUCGUGAAUUCAUCUCCGGGGGUAGAGCACUGUUUCGGCAAGGGGGUCAUCCCGACUUACCAACCCGAUGCAAACUGCGAAUACCGGAGAAUGUUAUCACGGGAGACACACGGCGGGUGCUAACGUCCGUCGUGAAGAGGGAAACAACCCAGACCGCCAGCUAAGGUCCCAAAGUCAUGGUUAAGUGGGAAACGAUGUGGGAAGGCCCAGACAGCCAGGAUGUUGGCUUAGAAGCAGCCAUCAUUUAAAGAAAGCGUAAUAGCUCACUGGUCGAGUCGGCCUGCGCGGAAGAUGUAACGGGGCUAAACCAUGCACCGAAGCUGCGGCAGCGACGCUGAUGCGUUGUUGGGUAGGGGAGCGUUCUGUAAGCCUGCGAAGGUGUGCUGUGAGGCAUGCUGGAGGUAUCAGAAGUGCGAAUGCUGACAUAAGUAACGAUAAAGCGGGUGAAAAGCCCGCUCGCCGGAAGACCAAGGGUUCCUGUCCAACGUUAAUCGGGGCAGGGUGAGUCGACCCCUAAGGCGAGGCCGAAAGGCGUAGUCGAUGGGAAACAGGUUAAUAUUCCUGUACUUGGUGUUACUGCGAAGGGGGGACGGAGAAGGCUAUGUUGGCCGGGCGACGGUUGUCCCGGUUUAAGCGUGUAGGCUGGUUUUCCAGGCAAAUCCGGAAAAUCAAGGCUGAGGCGUGAUGACGAGGCACUACGGUGCUGAAGCAACAAAUGCCCUGCUUCCAGGAAAAGCCUCUAAGCAUCAGGUAACAUCAAAUCGUACCCCAAACCGACACAGGUGGUCAGGUAGAGAAUACCAAGGCGCUUGAGAGAACUCGGGUGAAGGAACUAGGCAAAAUGGUGCCGUAACUUCGGGAGAAGGCACGCUGAUAUGUAGGUGAAGCGACUUGCUCGUGGAGCUGAAAUCAGUCGAAGAUACCAGCUGGCUGCAACUGUUUAUUAAAAACACAGCACUGUGCAAACACGAAAGUGGACGUAUACGGUGUGACGCCUGCCCGGUGCCGGAAGGUUAAUUGAUGGGGUCAGCGCAAGCGAAGCUCUUGAUCGAAGCCCCGGUAAACGGCGGCCGUAACUAUAACGGUCCUAAGGUAGCGAAAUUCCUUGUCGGGUAAGUUCCGACCUGCACGAAUGGCGUAAUGAUGGCCAGGCUGUCUCCACCCGAGACUCAGUGAAAUUGAACUCGCUGUGAAGAUGCAGUGUACCCGCGGCAAGACGGAAAGACCCCGUGAACCUUUACUAUAGCUUGACACUGAACAUUGAGCCUUGAUG
rnacentral:rRNA from 1 species